UUAUAUCAUAUUGCGCGUGGAAUCUACUGUCGUCUUUUAACGAUAGUCGUAUUUUUAUCGUUUUGCUGAACAUGGUUACGGGCUACGAUAAGAAUACCACGUCGAUAUCGUAUAAAGUUAUCCACUAUCAUUCGUAAGUGACCACGAUUGUCUAUGCCUAGAGUUUAUGAAAAAUCCAUUUAAUGCCUGGCUUUAUUAAAAUGUCGGACGUGUGUCGGACGAUGUUUGAAAACGAAUAGUUAGUUUUAUUACUACACUUCCAAAUUGAAAAAUGUUUAAAUGAGUGACAGCUUUAUACAAAUUGACUUACAUUAUAACAUGCACGGAUAAUCGUGUUUUCUCAACUGACAAUUCACUUGACAUUGACAAGCAUCGCGUACGCGCAUGAUUCAGUGAAUUUAGUGAACAUACAAACUAAGUCGAAGAAAAAUACUGAUUUGCUGUGUGAACUAAAGGAAAUGCCACCCAAAAUGUAAGUUUCUCUAAUUUAUUUAUAGAAAAAGUUAUAGUUCGUUUGAUCAUUAACUGGUUUUGUCAUGAAUAUGUUUAAUUUCAGACGAUGCUUCGGCGCACAAGAAAAUGCUAGCCAAAUAUAUAUAACUCAGCAUCCCCUGUUCGCCUACACCUACAGGGAGAUCCAUGAGCCUCUCGGAAGCCAGAGAUACAAAAUGCAAUGCUUCACAUUGCACAUAACUUCUAAGAUCCAGAAGAAAGGAUUGAAGAUGGUCCGUCGGGCCUGGGCAUUAUGAUCAUCGAGGGGCGGCACACGGAAGCCGGCCGAGGAAUCUUCGUCUCCGACUUACAAGAAGGCAGCGCUGCCGAACAGUCAUGACAUAUUGGAGGCUUGAAAGUGCACAUACCCAUACAUUGGACGUUAAGCUCAACGAGACCAUGCGAUGCAUCUCAGGCACUAUCCGAUCUACAACCGCCACUGGCUGCCGGCAUUGAGUCACAUUGCCCCUCCUCACAUCCGACGACUCAAGGCGUUGAAGAGGGAGGCUGAGAAUAUCACGAAUAACCCCACCCUGACCCUGUGCUACAGCUGGGAGCCUGAGCAGCUUUAAUAUUUCGGAUAGGUGGAUAGCGGAAUGGUCAGCUUCGGCAGCUCGGAGUUGCUGUAUAUCUGACCCAACUAAAAAACCAAAAGGGUUUGACCUUCCUCGGAAAAUCUGGUGCCGCCUGAGAACCGGACACUCAUACCCUGGGCCUGUUGAGGACCUGAAGACCGUGACACCUGACUUGGUUGCUUAGCUUGGCAACCUCAAGGCUACACUCUGAAUGCCACUUUAUUGGAGCAUUCCACGAGCUGUCCCGUACAAACGCAUUUUAUUUCCUGUGUUGCGACUUUUUUUUUUCGCCAUUUAAAGCAAGCGAAUAAUUUUCCGUGCAUGUUUGACCAUUUGUCAUAGAAAAGGAAACUCUUAUACCUGCAAAUCUCCAGAAAAUCUGCAUUUCUACGGGACAAACGGUAGUCAAUUUCAUGGAAUGCUCCAUUGCCAAAACAUGAUAAGUUGAUGGCAGAAAAAAUAUUAGGAAUACAAACCAUAUACCUACAUAUAAAUUCUAUGUUAAGUAUGUACUAAGUUAUUCUAGGUUAAGUACUAACUUAUUGUCUACUCUAUACAUAGGUAAUUACAUUUAGCAAGACAUGUUGGCCGUGGGUACCAAGCUCAGCAUGUGCUAGACUGGCGUCCAGCGCUGGUUUUCAGUUUGGCCCCUUUUUGUUGGAGGUCUGAGAGGAAUGUUGAUCUUUUCUACACCGUUAAGCAUUCUAUUUAUAUUGGAAACGAAACUUAUAGAUGAGCAGUUAUGAAAUAGCAAUAAAUGUGCCCCGGGCGACGUCCAAGGGGGGGCGCCAAAAUGGGCUAAAGACUACCUCUCCGCCUUGCCAAAGGCAGCAGGGAAACUUUUGUCAGUCGUAUUUACCACCACUGUGAAGUGUGAAAUGCGGAUGGUAAUCUGGCCCACAGCGCAAAGGGAGAAAGACGAUCUUUUAGGAACUCUUUUUGCAUCGAACUCGAUCUUGAAAGACGACGGUAGCGCCCUACCGCCCACCAUCCCGUAGUGUGAAUACUCUAUGCCAGAAACUUCUAUCAAGCAGAGGGAUAUUCGGCGGGAGUUGCUAUGCUUUCGUUUUAUAAGGCGAG